rnacentral:rRNA from 1 species
AUUGAACGCUGGCGGCAGGCCUAACACAUGCAAGUCGAGCGAGCGGCGGAGGGGUGAGUAAUGGCUGGGAAAAUGCCUGAAGGAGGGGGAUAACUACUGGAAACGGCAGCUAAUAACGCAUACCCACAGAUGUGCACAGAUGCGAUGAGCUAGUCGGUGGGGUAACGGCUCACCUAGGCGACGAUCCCUAGCUGGUCUGAGAGGAUGACCAGCCACACUGGAACUGAGACACGGUCCAGACUCAUACGGGAGGCAGCAGUGGGGAAUAUUGCACAAUGGGCGAAAGCCUGAUGCAGCCAUGCCGCGUGUGUGAAGAAGGCCUUCGGGUUGUAAAGCACUUUCGGCGGGGAGGCGUUACCCACAGAAGAAGCACCGGCUAACUCCGUGCCAGCAGCCGCGGUAAUUC